CCUACGGGUGGCAGCAGUGGGGAAUAUUGCACAAUGGGGGAAACCCUGAUGCAGCGACGCCGCGUGAGUGAAGAAGUAUUUCGGUAUGUAAAGCUCUAUCAGCAGGGAAGAAAAUGACGGUACCUGAUUAAGAAGCCGCGGCUAACUACGUGCCAGCAGCCGCGGUAGUACGUAGGGGGCAAGCGUUAUCCGGAUUUACUGGGUGUAAAGGGAGCGUAGACGGCAGCACAAGUCUGGAGUGAAAGGCCGGGGCCCAACCCCGGGACUGCUCUGGAAACUGCCUGGCUGGAGUACAGGAGAGGUAAGUGGAAUUCCUAGUGUAGCGGUGAAAUGCGUAGAUAUUAGGAGGAACACCAGUGGCGAAGGCGGCCUACUGGACUGUAACUGACGUUGAGGCUCGAAAGCGUGGGGAGCAAACAGGAUUAGAUACCCGGGUAGUC
rnacentral:rRNA from 1 species